rnacentral:misc_RNA from 1 species
GGAAGUAAAAGUUGUAACAAGGUCUCCGUUGGUGAACCAGCGGAGGGAUCAUUACUGGAAUCGCAAGAUCCCACAACCCCUGUGAACCUACCGAAACGUUGCCUCGGCGGGCGCCCGGCCCCGCGCCGGGCGUCGAGCCCGCCGGUGGCCCACUACUCUGUCUCUGCAGCGUGGCAUCUCCGAGUACAAGAAAAACAAGUCAAAACUUUCAACAACGGAUCUCUUGGCCCUA